CCUCCUCUUCUGUGGGAUUCCCUGAGCUCUGAGAAGAGGGAUUUGACUAAGAUCUCCAGUUUAGACUUUCUCUCUGUGCAAUGUCUGUCUGUGGGGCUCUGUGUUUGCUCCUAUCUGCUGCUGGAGGAAGAAACAGGAUCAACGUUUCCAGGCUUCCAAAGUUGACUGAGGUCCAGCGACUCUCCAGGAAUACUCCAGGUCUUUGGACAGAUUGGAAGAGCUGAGCUACCCACCCUGCCUCAAGGACAGAGCAGAGACUUGCCAUUACUAUUUUGACUUAAGCUAAUUUAAUAUGUUCUUUGUGUCUUGUUCUCCUAGUGAACUUUGAUUAAGGC
rnacentral:lncRNA from 1 species